rnacentral:rRNA from 1 species
GGGGAAUAUUGGACAAUGGGCGCAAGCCUGAUCCAGCCAUGCCGCGUGAGUGAAGAAGGCCUUCGGGUUGUAAAGCUCUUUCGCCCGGGAAGAAAUCGUGUCGUCUAAUAUCCGGCGUGGAUGACGGUACCUGAACAAGAAGCACCGGCUAACUUCGUGCCAGCACCCGCGGUAAUACGUAGGGUGCGAGCGUUAAUCGGAAUUACUGGGCGUAAAGCGUGCGCAGGCGGUUUUGUAAGUCAGAUGUGAAAUCCCCGGGCUUAACCUGGGAACUGCGCUUGAGACUGCAAGGCUAGAGUGCGGCAGAGGGGGGUGGAAUUCCUGGUGUAGCAGUGAAAUGCGUAGAUAUCAGGAGGAACACCGAUGGCGAAGGCAGCCCCCUGGGCCUGUACUGACGCUCAUGCACGAAAGCGUGGGGAGCAAACAGGAUUAGAUACCCUGGUAGU